AUCCAAAUAGUUUAUAAAAAACAUCGGUUUGUGGAGUCGGAGAAAUAUAGCUAUAUUUUGGGUA
rnacentral:tRNA from 1 species